GCAAGUCGAGCGGACAGAAGGGAGCUUGCUCCCGGAUGUUAGCGGCGGACGGGUGAGUAACACGUGGGUAACCUGCCUGUAAGACUGGGAUAACUCCGGGAAACCGGAGCUAAUACCGGAUAGUUCCUUGAACCGCAUGGUUCAAGGAUGAAAGACGGUUUCGGCUGUCACUUACAGAUGGACCCGCGGCGCAUUAGCUAGUUGGUGAGGUAACGGCUCACCAAGGCGACGAUGCGUAGCCGACCUGAGAGGGUGAUCGGCCACACUGGGACUGAGACACGGCCCAGACUCCUACGGGAGGCAGCAGUAGGGAAUCUUCCGCAAUGGACGAAAGUCUGACGGAGCAACGCCGCGUGAGUGAUGAAGGUUUUCGGAUCGUAAAGCUCUGUUGUUAGGGAAGAACAAGUGCAAGAGUAACUGCUUGCACCUUGACGGUACCUAACCAGAAAGCCACGGCUAACUACGUGCCAGCAGCCGCGGUAAUACGUAGGUGGCAAGCGUUGUCCGGAAUUAUUGGGCGUAAAGGGCUCGCAGGCGGUUUCUUAAGUCUGAUGUGAAAGCCCCCGGCUCAACCGGGGAGGGUCAUUGGAAACUGGGAAACUUGAGUGCAGAAGAGGAGAGUGGAAUUCCACGUGUAGCGGUGAAAUGCGUAGAGAUGUGGAGGAACACCAGUGGCGAAGGCGACUCUCUGGUCUGUAACUGACGCUGAGGAGCGAAAGCGUGGGGAGCGAACAGGAUUAGAUACCCUGGUAGUCCACGCCGUAAACGAUGAGUGCUAAGUGUUAGGGGGUUUCCGCCCCUUAGUGCUGCAGCUAACGCAUUAAGCACUCCGCCUGGGGAGUACGGUCGCAAGACUGAAACUCAAAGGAAUUGACGGGGGCCCGCACAAGCGGUGGAGCAUGUGGUUUAAUUCGAAGCAACGCGAAGAACCUUACCAGGUCUUGACAUCCUCUGACAACCCUAGAGAUAGGGCUUUCCCUUCGGGGACAGAGUGACAGGUGGUGCAUGGUUGUCGUCAGCUCGUGUCGUGAGAUGUUGGGUUAAGUCCCGCAACGAGCGCAACCCUUGAUCUUAGUUGCCAGCAUUCAGUUGGGCACUCUAAGGUGACUGCCGGUGACAAACCGGAGGAAGGUGGGGAUGACGUCAAAUCAUCAUGCCCCUUAUGACCUGGGCUACACACGUGCUACAAUGGACAGAACAAAGGGCUGCGAGACCGCAAGGUUUAGCCAAUCCCACAAAUCUGUUCUCAGUUCGGAUCGCAGUCUGCAACUCGACUGCGUGAAGCUGGAAUCGCUAGUAAUCGCGGAUCAGCAUGCCGCGGUGAAUACGUU
rnacentral:rRNA from 1 species